AUUGAACGCUGGCGGCAGGCCUAACACAUGCAAGUCGAACGAGUGGCGGACGGGUGAGUAAUAUCUGGGAAACUGCCCGAUGGAGGGGGAUAACUACUGGAAAGGGUAGCUAAUACCGCAUACCAUCGGAUGUGCCCAGAUGGGAUUAGCUAGUGGGUGGGGGAAAGGCUCACCUAGGCGACGAUCCCUAGCUGGUUUGAGAGGAGGACCAGCCACACUGGAACUGAGACACGGUCCAGACUCCUACGGGAGGCAGCAGUGGGGAAUAUUGCACAAUGGGCGAAAGCCUGAUGCAGCCAUGCCGCGUGUAUGAAGAAGGCCUUCGGGUUGUAAAGUACUUUCAGCGGGGAGGCGUUACCCGCAGAAGAAGCACCGGCUAACUCCGUGCCAGCAGCCGCGGUAAUAC
rnacentral:rRNA from 1 species